UGGGGAAUUUUGGACAAUGGGCGAAAGCCUGAUCCAGCAAUGCCGCGUGUGUGAAGAAGGCCUUCGGGUUGUAAAGCACUUUUGUCCGGAAAGAAAUCCUUGGCUCUAAUACAGUCGGGGGAUGACGGUACCGGAAGAAUAAGCACCGGCUAACUACGUGCCAGCAGCCGCGGUAAUACGUAGGGUGCAAGCGUUAAUCGGAAUUACUGGGCGUAAAGCGUGCGCAGGCGGUUUGCUAAGACCGAUGUGAAAUCCCCGGGCUCAACCUGGGAACUGCAUUGGUGACUGGCAGGCUAGAGUAUGGCAGAGGGGGGUAGAAUUCCACGUGUAGCAGUGAAAUGCGUAGAGAUGUGGAGGAAUACCGAUGGCGAAGGCAGCCCCCUGGGCCAAUACUGACGCUCAUGCACGAAAGCGUGGGGAGCAAACAGGAUUAGAUACCCUGGUAGUCCACGCCCCUAAAACGAUGUCAACUAGUUGUUGGGGAUUCAUUUCCUUAGUAACGUAGCUAACGCGUGAAGUUGACCGCCUGGGGAGUACGGUCGCAAGAUUAAAACUUAAAUGAAUUGACGGGGUCAUAGCUGUUUCCU
rnacentral:rRNA from 1 species